UACGUAGGGUGCAAGCGUUACUCGGAAUUACUGGGCGUAAAGCGUGCGCAGGCGGUUUUGUAAGUCUGUCGUGAAAUCCCCGGGCUCAACCUGGGAAUGGCGAUGGAUACUGGCGAGCUAGAGUGUGUCAGAGGAUGGUGGAAUUCCCGGUGUAGCGGUGAAAUGCGUAGAGAUCGGGAGGAACAUCAGUGGCGAAGGCGGCCAUCUGGGACAACACUGACGCUGAAGCACGAAAGCGUGGGGAGCAAACAGG
rnacentral:rRNA from 1 species